AAGAAGAUCUCAAAUCACAGCUCAUUUUAAAUUCUUUAUGAAGCCAUUUCCACCGAAAUUAGAGAUGUUCUGAAUGGAAUGAGAUUAUAUGCAGGGGGAAAACGUGUAGGCAAAAUUAAGAAAAUUAUCCAAAAAAUUAGGCCCACAAUCAGACCCACCAACAAGGAUAUGUAUGCAUGGUUGUAUAUGCGGCAGGACAACAUAGUCAGGUACGGAAUAGUAUGGGCUUGUCUACUUUUGUGAUUUAAUUCAGGCAACAAACUGACACCAUAGUCAGUUUUACCAUCUAAAAAUUCCAUCAUAUGCUAUCCUGUUAUGACCUAUUAUUAUUAUUAUGUUUU
rnacentral:lncRNA from 1 species